AUGGCGUCCUCCGAGACGCCACCUCCGUCGAUCCGGCAGGGAGCGAGGAUCGUCCCGCCGGACAGUGACAGCACCGUGGAGGAAGUCCUCCUGGCGGUCGGACAGCAGGUCGGACACGACCAGCUGCUCUUCGCGUCUCGGAUGAACAGGGCCGUGGUGGUGUUCCUCAGGGACGAGCCGCAUGUCCAUCAGCUGGUCGAGAGCGGAGUGUUCAUCCGGGACAUCUUCGUGCAGGUGUCCCCGCUGUCAGCUCCCUCCACGCGGAUCACCGUGUCCGGGGUUCCUCCGUUCAUCCCCAACGAGCUGCUGGAGAACGAGCUGCGGAGGUUCGGCAAGUUGGCCAGCGGCUUCAGGACGCUGAGCCUGGGAUGCAAGGAUCCCAAACUGAGGCACGUCCAGUCCCUGAGGCGACAGGCCUUCAUGUUCCUGGACUCGCCCACGCAAACUCUGGAGGUGUCGUUUAGAGUCAAGCACGGUGACGGGCACUACGUGGUGUAUGCAAGCUCGGGAAGUGUGAAAUGCUUCGAGUGUGGAGACGUGGGACACAAACGCUAUGCGUGCCCUCACAGACAGGCGGCGUCCGGCUCCGCGUCCGCGUCCGGCUCCGCGUCUGGUUCCGCGUCCGGCUCCGCGUCCGGUUCCGCGUCUGGUUCCGCCGAUGCGGCGCGUGGCGCCGCUCACGCCGGGGCAGCGGCGGGUGAUGCGGCGCCAGCGGCCGGUGACGCGGCCGGUGACGCGGCCGGUUCCGAGUCUGCGUCUGGUUCCGCGUCCGCGUCUGGUUCCGCGUCCGCGUCUGGUUCCGCCGAUGCGGCGCGCAGCGCCGCUCACGCCGGGGCAGCGGUGGGUGAUGCGGCGCCGGCGGCCGGUGACGCGGCCGGUGAUGCGGCCGGUCCCGAGUCCGCCUCGCCCAGUGGGCCUGGUGGGCUCGAGGUGGUGGAGGUGGAACAGACUCUGGCCGAGAGGCAGCAGGCGUCUGCGGCUGCAGGAAACCUGAGCAUCUCUCAGUGUGCAGGACCAUCACAAGCACAGGCAGCAGUCAGGACUGAAGCAGACAGAGAGCACGGUGUGACCCCCAGUGAAGAACAGGGGGGACCCACUAGCCAGGCACCAGCUCAGGGAGAUGACAUGGAGUAUGACUCGGGGUCAGACACAACAUCCGUUGGUGAAACUCCCGUCAAGAGUACUGAUCUCUACUCACUAGAGGAAAUUAACAACUUUCUAGAUGAGACUUUCAAGAAAUCAGUGAAAGUGAGCGAUCACUUCAGUGACAUUGAUAAAUUCAUCAGAUCUGUUAGUAUACUAAAAAGGGUGGUCGGGUUUGAUCUGUUGGAUGAAAAGAAACGCUUCCGACUUAAAAAGCACAUCACAGCUUUGAGGAAAGUGUCAAUAGUUCGACCUGUAAGAAAGACCAGGAAAUAG
rnacentral:lncRNA from 1 species